ACAUUGUCAAGUACAAUCUUUAAUUUAUAAACUGAUGCUGCAUCCAUAAAUUGCAAGGUUUUCUGACAUCAUAAGCCAAUGUAAUUAUACCACAGCUGGAUUUGGCCCUGAAGAUGUAAAUAGCAAUUUCUUUUUAUAUAUAUAUUACUUCAUUGGCUGGAGCAGGGCAUUGGGAAGCAGACAUUGGGAUUCUGUUCUCAGUUCUGCUACUAACUCACUGUAUGAUCUAAACAAGCCAUUUGUUGUCAUUUCAGGAAGUCUGGGUACUCUCUGAAAAUGCUCAGUAAAAUCCCAUGGCAACAUUCUCUACAGCCGCUGUGCCCAGGGCUGGAUUAUGACAGGGUGGGGCCCUAAGAUAGGGGUUCCCAAACUUUCCAUGCUGCGGCCCAGAAAACUGCGGACUGGAAGUGACCAUGGCUACAGCCUGGCAAACUGUGGACCACCGUGUGGAGCCCCACAGCCAGAAUUUCCAGCUGGAAUACAGUUUUAAUCCUCUACUGGUGUGAAGCAAGGGAAGUGAUCAAGAAGCUGCCACCACGCAUGCCUGCUUUUAAAAUUGACGCUGCAACACGGGUGGCUUCAGCCUUCAAGAGAUAAUGCAGCACAGAAAAAGGAGAUUGGACUCAAGUCUGGAUAAAUGCAGCUUUUGCUCAGGCUCAGAAUCCGUCAUGAUGUCCCUGCUGCUUUGCCAUUUGCUGCUUAAAGGAAGUAGCCCCACUCCAAAGCUGAUUCUCCUGGUUCAGCAUUCUGCUCCCCCCGGUUGUCUUAGAAGUGUUGCUACCCUAGCAAACUCAAGCUUUCAUUUUGUCUCGCAUUUAUAUUAGAAUGCUCCUGAUUUCUUUUCUGAAAUGAAGUUUCGAAAGAUGGUCCUCUGAAACCACCACUUUCUGGGGAGCAGGAACACUCUACCACCCAAAAGCAAAAUGACAAAUCUAAGUUUGGAACUGCAUAGUUCCAAGAAAUCUCAUCUCAAGGCUUUGUCAGUCUGUGGACAUGUUUGAAAUUUCAACAUAUUUCACUACCUGCAGCAAAUUAAAACCCUUUGCUUCACAGAAUAUUUGUAGCCAGUGGUCAUUCUGUUUUCGUAAGUCCAUUAACUUCAAUGGAGAAGUACAAGGGAUGGAUUUGAGCCAUUAUGUGAAACAGAUGGAGCUCAGAAGAAAGUUUUUGAGCCAAGAUGCCAGCCCCUACCUUCUCUGUUGUCAUUUUUAAUGCAGAUUUUGCCACAAUUUCUGGCACAUGUAGGCAUAGUAACUCUGCAAAAUAUAUAGAUAUGGGUAUAUGCAAGUAUUUGUGUCUACAAGAUGUUCUUUCUUGUUGCGCCAGCAAAUGACUGUUUUAUGUUUACAAUUGUGAAAAAUUAUGCCCAGCCACCUGUUUGUAUAUACAUGUACAUGGAUUUAGGCACAAAGUAGAUAAUAGCAUUUGGAAGAUGAGCUCAUGGUAUAGAAAACAAAGAUUUUUGCAAUUCAUCUUUAUCUUCCUCUUAGGCUUGGGAUUUUUAUUUGUUUUUUUAAAAACUUCUCUGUAAACAAUUGUAUUGCUGUAGCAAAUAUUUCCAAUGUUUCAAACUCAAAACCACUAGACACCCUUUGUAUUUACUAGGCUUUGCUUUAAUGCAUAAAUCAAAGCACCAUAACAAGCCUAAUGUCAAAGAAACUUUUUGACACUUCAUACAUUAAAUACGCACAGCCGAUAAACAGUUUAAAUAAAGUUAUGGUUUGAAAUGUA